GGCUCUAUGCUCAGUGGUUAGGGCACUGGUCUUGUAAACCAGGGGUUGCGAGUAAAAUCCUUACUAGGGCUU
rnacentral:tRNA from 1 species